GUGCUUGUUUCGACAGUACAUUACUAAAAUUGGAACGAUACAGAGAUUAGCAUGGUCUCCGCACAAGGGUGACAGGCAGAAUUACGGGCAUGCAUGGACAAAU
ensembl:snRNA U6 U6 spliceosomal RNA